rnacentral:rRNA from 1 species
AGCAGUCGCCGCGGUAAUACAGAGGGUGCGAGCGUUAAUCGGAUUUACUGGGCGUAAAGCGUGCGUAGGCGGCUUUUUAAGUCGGAUGUGAAAUCCCUGAGCUUAACUUAGGAAUUGCAUUCGAUACUGGGAAGCUAGAGUAUGGGAGAGGAUGGUAGAAUUCCAGGUGUAGCGGUGAAAUGCGUAGAGAUCUGGAGGAAUACCGAUGGCGAAGGCAGCCAUCUGGCCUAAUACUGACGCUGAGGUACGAAAGCAUGGGGAGCAAACAGGAUUAGAUACCCGAGUAGUCCCUGUCUCUUAUAA